rnacentral:rRNA from 1 species
CCUACGGGAGGCAGCAGUGAGGAAUAUUGGUCAAUGGGCGCGAGCCUGAACCAGCCAAGUAGCGUGAAGGAUGACUGCCCCACGGGGUGUAAACUUCUCUUAUAAAGGAAUAAAGUGAGGCACGUGCGCCUUUUUGUAUGUACUUUAUGAAUACGGAUCGGCUAACUCUGUGCCAGCAGCCGCGGUAAUACGGAGGAUCCGAGCGUUAUCGGGAUUUAUUGGGUUUAAAGGGAGCGUAGAUGGGUUGUUAAGUCAGUUGUUAAAGUUGGAGGCUCAACCUGAAAAUUGCAAUGGAUAAUGGCAAGCUUGAAUGCAGUUGAGGUAGGGGGAAUUCGUGGUGUAGCGGUGAAAUGCUUAGAUAUCACGAAGAACUCCGAUUGCGAAGGCAGCCUACUAAACUGCCACUGACAUUGAUGCUCGAAAGUGUGGGUAUCAAACAGGAUUAGAUACCCUGGUAGUC